ACGGGAGGCAGCAGUGAGGGAUAUUGGUCAAUGGGCGGAAGCCUGAACCAGCCAAGUCGCGUGAAGGAUGAAGGUAUUAUGUAUUGUAAACUUCUUUAGACGCAGAGAAAUAAGGGGCUCGUGAGCCCUGAUGCUAGUAUGCGUAGAAUAAGGAUCGGCUAACUCCGCGCCAGCAGCCGCGGUAAUACGGAGGAUCCGAGCGUUAUCCGGAUUUAUUGGGUUUAAAGGGUGCGCAGGCGGUCUUUUAAGUCAGUGGUUAAAUCGUGAGGCUCAACCUCAUCACGCCAUUGAUACUGGAGGACUUGAUUGCGGUUGAGGUGGGCGGAAUUCGCCGUGUAGCGGUGAAAUGAAUAGAUAUGGCGAAGACUCCGAUUGCGUAGGCAGCGGACCAAGCCGUAAAUGACGCUCAUGCACGAAAGUGCGGGGAUCGAACAGGAUUAGAUACCCUGGUA
rnacentral:rRNA from 1 species